rnacentral:rRNA from 1 species
GACGAACGCUGGCGGCGCGCUUAACACAUGCAAGUCGAGCGAUGAAACUUUAACAGUACCCUUCGGGCCGAAGAUACAGUGGAUUAGCGGCGGCCGGGUGAGUAACACGUGAGUAACCUGCCUUAUACAUUGGACUAGCCCCGGGAAACCGGGAUUAAUACCAAAUAAAAUCAUAAUGACACAUGUCAUAACUACUAAAACUCCGAUGGGCUAAGAUGGACGUGCGUCGCAUUAGCUAGUUGGUAGAGUAAAAGCCUACCAAGGCGUCGAUGGCUAGCCGGGAUGAGAGAGUGAACCCAGACAUUGGAGGGGAGAAGCAGUAGGAAAUCCUACGCAAGGGAGGAGUGGCGGAUAUUGCACAAUGGCGGGAGCUAUGAUGCAGCGCCGACGGGUAAACGCAGAAAGCAGUGAAGAACUAAAGUUCUAGUAUAUAGGAAGGUAAUGACGGUACCAAAAGAGAAAGCCCCGGCUAACUACGUG